CCCCCCCCCCCCCCCCCCCCACCCUUCCUGCCGUCACCCGAUCAUCGUCGACACGGGCAUCCUCUCUUCAUCGUCUUCCCAAUGCCACCAUCCACUCCUCCAAUUGUCGCCAUCUCAAGCUCCUCUACCUCGAUCCCGAGCUCACCGUGGCGACUCCUAGUAUGUGUCUCCGAUCUGCCCGAAAGCUCCUGCUUCUCAGCAUCAAGCUUGGCUCUGCCACCACCAGCUCACACAUUUCCUCCUUUCGGUGAGGUUGAGGCCAGUAGCAUCAGCUCCGACACGGAGCACCCCUUUUCCGAGCUUCCUCCUUCCCCCUGUUGCUGCGGCCACCCUAUCUCCUCCAUCACAAGUUGCAACUACAACUUCUCCUUCCUUCUAGCCUCAAGCUAAGUCCCUGUCUCUUAUCAAUUUCUCUAUCUUCCUCUAUUUUUGUUUAUCUCUGCCCAUCUCUGUCUCUCUCUCUCUUUCCUUGGCAGCAGAUCCUCCAUGGCAACACUGAGCUUCACGAUCUCCUGCCUCUUCCCAUAGCUCCGACGACAGCAACAACUCGUCCCUCUCCAAUUAAGCUCAGCCUUCCUGGCUUUCCAGAGUCCAGCUGCUGCAAACGACCUCAGCUUAGUCUCGCAGUAGACCAUUGAAGCCAGCAGCUCCCCCUCAUAGCACCCGCAAACUCCUCCUCACAGCGGCAACUUCAAAUCGAUCACUUCCUCAUAUCUGGCUCAUUCCCGACACAUAGAGGGCUAGGGGACUAGGAGUCUGAUUUUCUCUUACAAGACAAUGGCAAUGGAAAGUCGUUGGAAGUUGUAAUUAGAAAAUUAGCUUGGACUUGCUACUUGUCUUUUAGGUGGACAGAGAGAAAUACAAGGAUUUUUCAAGGAAAGGCUAGAGAUGUGGAUAUCUUAGCGAAGCAGGGUUAGACCGUUAGAGAGCUGGUGAGAUUUAAAGUGGCAUGGCUGCCAAAUUUUGCUGUCAAAGUUGCAACAUGCCCUCUGUCCACUUUAAUUUGAGGGAGUUGAUGUAAUUGGGAUGUUCUUUGUACAUAUUUAAGGGCCGUUUGGAUUCAGAGUUAAAGUUACUUUGAUUUUGAUUUUAAUUUUGAUUGUGGAAAAUGACAAAUGAGAUGUGAUUAUAAAUUUGACU